rnacentral:sRNA from 1 species
CUCUCUCUCUCUCUCUCUCUCUACUUGACUCAGCUCACUCGGAAGAACACUCCUCCAAAAUAGCAGCAUCUUACUAUUCCAGCAAAGGUCAAGUUGGCAAAGCAAACAGAUGGCGGUUUCCAAAACACUUCCCGUGUUUGCUUUUUAGUGUGUUGACAUUUGAGAAGGAAAUGUGGGUGCUGGUCGGAGCUUUUCUCACACCCAAUUUACAGCAGCUAAGAAAUAAUCAAGUGACAGGUGACACAGAAGCAAAGGUCUGCCAGCCCAAGCUGCCCAACACCACAGGGCUCUUCACUGCUGAGCCAUAUCCCUAGCUCCUACACAAUUUUUUUGAAACCUUAAAAUACAUAUUUAAAAUGUGGGUGUCUCUCAGUGAAAGCACACGUGAUACCAGGAAAGAGAACCAGCCUGGUACCAACCAGGAGUCAGCCUCACCGAAAAUCCUCCCAGCCUGAGGAGCGAGGUGAGGAACCUGAAGAAAUAGGACCGGACACAGACCACUGUUAAUUUUAGCAUUUUCAUGUCUGCUUGAUGAAAUAGAACAGAACAUUUGCAAUGUGACAGAGACCCGCCCCGCCCUGUGACAUCCUCCCAACCACAAAGGGUUUUAAUCGUUUUCAAAGAAAAAUAGAGCCGCUAGUGUGAGCUUCUCAUUCUAUUCUCUUUGCCUUUUCUUUUUCCCUCUCAAGCCUGAGAAAUUCAAAGCAACUCCCCUGGCUGCACAGGCUCCCCAAGGCUCCUUCUCCUUUUAAAGAAAAGAGAGAGAGAACUGCAGCCCCUGUCUGUCCCAUGCAGCAAACCACAGGCAAGGUCACAGUCUGCCAUUCUUCCUUCAGCUCUCACAAAUAUCUAAAUAUCUGAGGGUGAUUUUGUGGCCUGUUGCGAUGACAAACUUCUUCAAAGAGACAACACAAAACUAAACGUGUUAUUGUAGUAGCUCCCGUCCUUUAGUAUGGCCUCCUUCAAAGUCUUCAAAUCCAGAAGCAUGGCUAAAUUCUCAGAGGCGGUACGUCAGUCCCAGCCCCCUCACUGGUCCUUGGCUAAAUGGUGAUUCAGAGACCUUCUGCACAGGCUGGGAGGGACGCUCUCUGCCAGGCUCUGUUGCAGCUGCCUCGGAUCUGGAUUACACCUGGAAGCCAAGAUCUCCCCAAACAAUAUGGCCACUGCCAUUGGCCUUGGUUAACUUCCAGAAUUUGAAAGGAAGAUCCUAUUGCUAAAGACACCACACUUUGCACACAAACCCGAAGGAAUAGAGCUGGAAAUGAACUGGAAGCCUCCUCCCUGCGGAAUUCUCACAGCAUUGUAAGAUGCUAUGUACACUGCCAGGGAAAAAAAGCCAUCAGUAGUCCUACCUUACUAUACAGCCUGGGAAGAUCAUCAGUGACUGGACAGGCAGGUGUCCAUGGUGGUACAGUAGUGUCAUUUUAUCUUGGCUAUAGCCAGCAGCUGUCUAGUUGGACUUAAGCGCAGAACUCAUCCAUGGUACUUUAAAUCUAUCCAUGGCUGGAGAGAUCAUAAACCCUAGAAAAGAACCUACUUUGCUAAACCAAUAUAAUUCCUAACUAUAUUCUAAAUAUUCUUAUACCCACAGACAAGUGUGGCUCGCACUCCUCAUCAAAGAAGCUUCCUCUUGCAAUAGACGGAGACUACGACAGAGAUUCACAGCUGAUCGAAAUCCAGAGGAGUGAGUGACUGUGCAGUGUCCAGCCCCAACUCUAUGGCAACCUUUAUUCCUAAAACUCAGGGAAAAUCAUAGAAGAGGGGGAGGGCGAUUCCACUGUUCCCACCCCUAGAUGAAGAGCUUCGGGGGCCAGUGCUGCUGAAAGGAGAAUCAUCUUCCUCCAGGGAACAUAAGGUAUCCAGUCUCACAUGCUUAGCCCUGGACUGUACAUGCAGGAAACACUAAAUGGAUUCAGUGACUCCUGCAUGUACACACAUGGAGCAAUGAUAAUUAAAGAUGAGACCGUGAGUUUGGGAUGGGGGAGGAAUGCUGCAGCUGGAGAUAGGAAAGGACAGUAGAGUUGAUGCAAACAUCCGUGCUCAUAAAGUUUUCCAAAAAGUAUUUUUUAGAAAGAAUCAUUUUGAGGCCAAAUCCAAAGCAAAUAAAAGCCAUCAAAUGGUUCUGAUUUGUGCUGAUUUAAAAAUUAACUUUUUAAAAAUCCUUCAAUAAGUAAAGCAAAGGUUUUCAGAUAUAUCCGUUAAAGCAAAACUUAAGACAUUACAUCUGUAAAAUUUGCUGAUGGGUCAUUAAUAUAGUGCAGAGUCAUCAGCUAGCUGGAAUUAUAAUUGUUCAAGAUGUUUGAAAACACAAAGCAUAUUCUAACAUGUGCACAGCAUGUGCAUACAUCUGUGCGCACAGGUGUGUGCAUACACGGUUGUGGGCACAGCAUUUAUAGUUAGGCAGAUAAGCUGGCUUUAGUCCUUCAAGAUGACUAUUUAUACUCUUAUCCCUCUCCCUUCGUUUUUGUCAAGGAGUUUAAAAUUUUAAUUUAUAUUAAAUUAUAGCUGAAGGAAAAGGCUACUCUCCAGGAAAAGGCUACUGUUUAUAGUCUAAUGACAAUCAAGAGAAAAGACAAAGCAUCUACAAGAGUCCAAAGAAUAAAGACCUGAAAUCUGGGUGGCCACCCUCAGUCCUAGGAUCCACGGCUGGUGGUCCAGGCUAGUGUUCACUUCUGAACCAAGUUAAGAGUUUCCCCAGCACAGCAGCUGAGGUUGGGCCUUCUGACCUUCUCAGUGGGUGGGCAGAGGAGCCAGCCCAUCUCCCAUUGCUUCCCCCUGUGGAAGCCUAAAAGCAUUAUCUAGGGACACUGGAGUUUAGAUCAGUGUUUCCUCUCUGCACAGACUGCCACAUGCAUUCUGACACCAUAACUUCCACCUACCUACAUUCUGCAACAGUUGCAGGAAGUGGAUCUAAUUAUUUUAAGAGAAGAAACUCCAAGGAGGCAGAAGUCACAUAAAGACUUAAGAAGCAACCAGCACAAUAAGAGGAAGACCUGGAUGGGCCCCUGAGUUAGUACCUAUUUCUCAGUAGCCAGACAGACCUGAUGCCUAAUCAUGCCUUCUUUCUGGUCCAUUUGUUUGAGAUUAUAAAACUAUUACAUUUCUCCCUUCUGUAUCCUCCCUAUAAACCUUCCAUAUAUCUGUCCCCUUCCUCCUUUAGAUUUUUUCACUAAUUGUUAUUAUAUUCAUAUUCAUACACAUAUAUACAUACAUAUUUCCAAAUAUAACCUCUUCAGUCAUAAGAUGUUAUCUGUUUGUGUAUUUUCAGGGCUGAGUGUUUUGGCCCUGGAUAACCCAUAGUGUGCUCUUCCCUGGGAAAGACCAUCUCUCCCAGUCCAGGCUUUCCUCACUUGCCUAUAAGUUCUCUGUGUAGGGCUGCAGUCUUGGGGACUUCUUCUCAGCCCCUGCCAUCCAGUUUGACAUGGCCAUUGGUGUUGUCCCUGUCCAGCUCAGGUUUGAACAGUCAUGUUGGUGAGAAGUUAUGGGUGUAGCUUCUAAUGCUACUAGGAGAUACCAUCCCACUCAUUCUCUUGCUCUCAAAAUCUUUCUACCCCUUCUUCCACAAUUUUUCCUGAGCCUUAGGUAUGGAAGAGUUUCGUAGAUGUCAUCAUUAGGACUGGGCCCCACAACUCUGCAUUUUGAUUGGUUGUGGUUUUCUAUAAUGGUCUCUGUUACAAGAGAAGCUUCCUUGGUGAGGAGUGAAGACUGCACAUCUGUAGCUGUAAGGACAAAUGCUUAUAGAUUUUCGUUAGGGAUUAUGCUGGUUUAGUAAAUUAAAGGUUUGGAUUCUUCUCCAAUAACCAUGAUUUCAUUAGCACUGAGUAGCUGACUAGGUAUCUGAUCCAGGCACGGUCUCCCUCUUGUGGAGUGCAUCGUAAGCCUAACCAUGUCUUCCUUCUUGCUGGCCUCUCUAUCCGAGCAUGAGCUUGGUUGUCCUCUGGCUUCCUCUCCAUUCUGUUGGCUCCUGCUCUUUCCAUUGUCAACCCAACACUCUGAAGGCUAUUUCGCCCUCAGCCAGGCAGAGGCCUCCCCUCCAUCAUCCAUUUUCAUCCCUGCCCUCUGUGCCUUGUCUGCGUAUGUCACAAUUCCCCCUCUAAACAGAUAAUCAGGAGCAUCAGCAGUAUUUGUAUGACAAAACUGACUACUGGAGGGAAAACAUCAAGCUUUAGAAGGACAUUUAGAAUGUAUAUUUUAUAUUUUAUAUGAGUCAUAUAAAAUGUUAUCACAUACUCAUGAAUACUUAACAUGAAUUAGAAACAAAUAUCACAUUUUGUAUACAACUAACCCAUAUCAUGUAUUUCAGUUCAUGAAUAAAAAGCAGUGGCUUUAAGCCUGAGCAUCACAAUGAGAAACUGGUCAGGUGGUGGCUGUGACCAAUGGGGCCCAAUGUGAUGUGACCUUUCUCUACUCACUCCCUCAUACACUCAUGUGUAAGCUAAGUCAACCGAGACCAGUUACUAUAGCUCCAUCAUCUUCCCACAUGAGGCAACAGUUUGCAUCACCUACCAUGCUCCUACCAUGAUAUAUGUCCUUGCCAAAGAAUCUAAAGCCAACAGGGUCAAUAAAUCAUUGCCCGAAACUUCCAAAACCAUGAGACAAGGUAAGCCUUUCCUCGAUGUUUCCCAGUCCCAUGUGUCCUUCAAGGUUGGCUCUCAGAGUCCUCCCUACUGCACACGCUGUCCCAUCCAUGCCACAGGUACUUUGGCUGUCACACAACUGUUUCUACUCUUCUUCUUGGAUGUAUGAACUUGAUAAGGUCAGGCCAUGGAGCCUUCCCAUCUCUACCCCAGUGUUUGGUCCAGUGCCCAUCAAACAAGGGGCUUUGAUAAUAUAUGAAAUGAGAAAAACUGAGACAGAAGGCCACUGGGGUCUCUAGGAGAUGAACUUAAUGCUACUGUGUCCUCAUCACAGUCCUGGGCAUGGAAAUGGUGAAGAACAAGCAUCACAGGCAAUGCCGGCUGGGCAUGGCGGUACCUGUCUGUCGCCUCAGUGCUCACAGGGCAGAGGUAGAAAUACUGCUGUGAGUAGGAAGACAGCCUUGUCUACGUAGUCUUUCCCUCAAUACAAUACACAGAGAAAUGACAGUGUUAUGAAGAUGAAAAGAAUGGUGUAAAAUACAAACCGGGCAACAGUGAGAGAUGACAACUUCAGAGGAUGCAGGCCUCUACUGAAGGGGCUGAGCUAAGAGUGGCAAUGAUGGACUGGGAAGUAGAGUGAGAUACUGAUGAGCCUGGUGGCAGUCAGGCCCAGGCAGUGAGGCUGACACAGGCAAUGCAGGCAGGACACACACCAUCCACUGGCUGGGCCUGUCAGCUUGCCUGUAUCCUGCCUGUACACAUUUCAAU